rnacentral:rRNA from 1 species
AUCAUGGAGAGUUUGAUCCUGGCUCAGAACGAACGCUGGCGGCGCGUCUUAAGCAUGCAAGUCGGACGGCAAGGAGGAGCAAUCCUCCCUAGAGUGGCGGACUGGUGAGUAACGCGUGGGUGACCUGCCCCGUGGCCGGGGAUAGCCGCUAGAAAUAGUGGGUAAUACCGGAUGUGGCUGCCGUGCUGAGGCGCGGCAAAGAAAGAAGCCAAGGCUUCGCCACGGGAUGGGCCCGCGUCCCAUUAGCUUGUUGGGGGUGUAACGGACCACCAAGGCGAUGAUGGGUAGCCGGCCUGAGAGGGUGAACGGCCACACUGGGACUGAGAUACGGCCCAGACUCCUACGGGAGGCAGCAGCUAAGAAUAUUCCGCAAUGG